rnacentral:rRNA from 1 species
CCCGAGUAGUCCUGGGCAGUAAACGCUGUGAGCUAGGUGUUGCACAUCUUUCGUGGAUGUGCAGUGUCGUAAGGAAGCUGUUAAGCUCNCCCACCUGGGAAGUACGGUCGCAAGACUGAAACUUUAAGGAAUUGGCGGGGGAGCACCACCAGGAGUGCGGCGUGCGGUUUAAUCUAACUCAACGCAGAAAACCUUACUAGAGGCGACGGCAGGAUGAAAGUCAGUCUGAAGGGCUUACUUGACGAGCCGAGAGGUAGUGCAUGGCCGCCGUCAGCUCGUGCCGUGAGGUGUCCUCUUAAGUGGGGUAACGAGCGAGACCUGCAUCCAUAAUUGCAAACAUGCCUGUAUGGUGAAUGAGCACAUUAUGGGGACUGCCCUGGAAACAGGGAGGAAGGCGCAGGCUACGGUAGGUCUGUAUGCUCCGAAUCUUCUAGGCUACACGCGCGCAACAAUGGUAGGGACAAUGGGCUGCAACUCCGAAAGGAGAAGCUAAUCCUCUAAACCCUAUCUUAGUUCAGAUCGAGGUUUGUAACUCAACCUCGUGACGACGGAAUUCCUAGUNNNCGGAGU